UACUGGGAUAUCGAGCGAGAAAAAAUACAACUUCUUUUGUGUAGAAAGCUAGGGUUUACAAAAUCGUUUUAGGCAUAUUACCUACACUAGAAAGCUCUCUCUCUCUCGCUUUGUCUCCAUCACCGUCGGGAACAGGAGCACCACCGCUAUCGCACACAAGCACCACUGUCGAUCCACCAUUGGAGCAUUACCCAGGGGCUUAUGUUGGUGAAACUGCUUGUCAACAAAUAUCAUCCAUAUGGUUGUCUUAAAUAAAAAUGUUGGUGAUGCGAAUGUAUCUUAAUUUUGUGUCCUUGGGCGCCCUUGGUUUGAGUCCCUGUACAUAUGAGUAUAUGUUCUGCUUUCCUUGAUGUCAUUUGGGGAUAGUAUUCUACGGGCAUGUAUCUUGACUAUUUCUACUUGACCUGAGGGAAAGAAUCAAGCUGAAGCAAGUUUUAUUCUUCCUGAGUUUAACAAGCUAGCAGCGGAGGUCAAAUUGACUGUAUGAUCAUAGUCUGGGUGAGUACAAUUUCUGCUAGCUACUCCAGAAUUUGGUCAUAAUCCUAUAGCUUACCUCCAACUCGAGAACCAAUAUGAGACAUGCUUGUAAAAGUUUUGACUAAAUUUUUCUAAUUUUUAAAAUUGUAUAGUCAAAAAAUGGACCUAAAAAGUACAUAGAUAUUUUUUUUGACUAGUAUGGUCCUUCGGCACAUCAAUCUCAAAUGUAUGAGAUCCUUUCUCAGAAAGAAUGUAACUCAUGUCUGCAGUUUCCUUAGCUGCGUCAUCUCUCUCUUUAUCAAAUUGAGUAACUGUUUCCUCUCUAGCAAUCCUCCUAAUUAUUGUACGAUGAUCAAUUCCUUCUUCACUUGACAAGUGCCUCUGUAGACUACCGUUAGUAGAAGGUAUUCCUAACCAGGUAUAAUUCUUCUUUUGCACAACCAACAAAACUUGGAUUAGACAAAACUGCAUCAAUCACAAUCUUCCCCCUCCUCAGACUUGCAAAUGGACGAACUUGUAGUUUUACAGUAGGGACCUCCCCGCAAGAGAACUCUUCAUUAUGAGGCCCAAUUGAACAAGACUCCAAGGUAAUGGUCAAAGGUGAAAUUUGCCGAACCUUACCAAAAUCAAGCUCGCGCUGAAUAUACUCACUCAGAACCGAACAAACAGAAGGUAAAAGCUUCGCUUCGACAAAAGUCUUGGCUUUUGCCUUCCCAUACCAAACCAAUAAGCACACCCCAGAUA